CAGUCGAGCGGAACGAGUUAUCUGAACCUUCGGGGAACGAUAACGGCGUCGAGCGGCGGACGGGUGAGUAAUGCCUAGGAAAUUGCCCUGAUGUGGGGGAUAACCAUUGGAAACGAUGGCUAAUACCGCAUGAUGCCUACGGGCCAAAGAGGGGGACCUUCGGGCCUCUCGCGUCAGGAUAUGCCUAGGUGGGAUUAGCUAGUUGGUGAGGUAAGGGCUCACCAAGGCGACGAUCCCUAGCUGGUCUGAGAGGAUGAUCAGCCACACUGGAACUGAGACACGGUCCAGACUCCUACGGGAGGCAGCAGUGGGGAAUAUUGCACAAUGGGCGCAAGCCUGAUGCAGCCAUGCCGCGUGUGUGAAGAAGGCCUUCGGGUUGUAAAGCACUUUCAGUCGUGAGGAAGGUGGUGUAGUUAAUAGCUGCAUCAUUUGACGUUAGCGACAGAAGAAGCACCGGCUAACUCCGUGCCAGCAGC
rnacentral:rRNA from 2 species